GGGUUGUGAGGUUAAGCGACUAAGCGUACACGGUGGAUGCCCUGGCAGUCAGAGGCGAUGAAGGGCGUGCUAAUCUGCGAUAAGCGCCGGUAAGGUGAUAUGAACCGUUAUAACCGGCGAUACCCGAAUGGGGAAACCCAGUGUGACUCGUCACACUAUCAUUAACUGAAUCCAUAGGUUAAUGAGGCGAACCGGGGGAACUGAAACAUCUAAGUACCCCGAGGAAAAGAAAUCAACCGAGAUUCCCCCAGUAGCGGCGAGCGAACGGGGAGGAGCCCAGAGCCUGAAUCAGCAUGUGUGUUAGUGGAAGCGUCUGGAAAGGCGCGCGAUACAGGGUGACAGCCCCGUACACAAAAGCGCAUGUGCUGUGAGCUCGAUGAGUAGGGCGGGACACGUGGUAUCCUGUCUGAAUAUGGGGGGACCAUCCUCCAAGGCUAAAUACUCCUGACUGACCGAUAGUGAACCAGUACCGUGAGGGAAAGGCGAAAAGAACCCCGGCGAGGGGAGUGAAAAAGAACCUGAAACCGUGUACGUACAAGCAGUGGGAGCCCCACCACUAAGCCAGUGGUGAACUCCACAUACGCAUCCUUUGCUGAGGAUACGGUUAACGGAGCGAAAGCGACGUUCAACCGCAAAACAAGCAGAGGGGGCUUAGUGGUGGGGUGACUGCGUACCUUUUGUAUAAUGGGUCAGCGACUUAUAUUCUGUAGCAAGGUUAACCGAAUAGGGGAGCCGGAGGGAAACCGAGUCUUAAUUGGGCGUUAAGUUGCAGGGUAUAGACCCGAAACCCGGUGAUCUAGCCAUGGGCAGGUUGAAGGUUGGGUAACACUAACUGGAGGACCGAACCGACUAAUGUUGAAAAAUUAGCGGAUGACCUGUGGCUGGGGGUGAAAGGCCAAUCAAACCGGGAGAUAGCUGGUUCUCCCCGAAAGCUAUUUAGGUAGCGCCUCGUGAACUCAUCUCCGGGGGUAGAGCACUGUUUCGGCUAGGGGGCCAUCCCGGCUUACCAACCCGAUGCAAACUGCGAAUACCGGAGAAUGUUAUCACGGGAGACACACGGCGGGUGCUAACGUCCGUCGUGAAGAGGGAAACAACCCAGACCGCCAGCUAAGGUCCCAAAGUCAUGGUUAAGUGGGAAACGAUGUGGGAAGGCCCAGACAGCCAGGAUGUUGGCUUAGAAGCAGCCAUCAUUUAAAGAAAGCGUAAUAGCUCACUGGUCGAGUCGGCCUGCGCGGAAGAUGUAACGGGGCUAAACCAUGCACCGAAGCUGCGGCAGCGACGCUGAUGCGUUGUUGGGUAGGGGAGCGUUCUGUAAGCCUGUGAAGGUGUGUCGUGAGGCAUGCUGGAGGUAUCAGAAGUGCGAAUGCUGACAUAAGUAACGAUAAAGCGGGUGAAAAGCCCGCUCGCCGGAAGACCAAGGGUUCCUGUCCAACGUUAAUCGGGGCAGGGUGAGUCGACCCCUAAGGCGAGGCCGAAAGGCGUAGUCGAUGGGAAACGGGUUAAUAUUCCCGUACUUGGUGUUACUGCGAAGGGGGGACGGAGAAGGCUAUGUUGGCCGGGCGACGGUUGUCCCGGUUUAAGCGUGUAGGUGUGUGUUCCAGGUAAAUCCGGUUCACUUUAACACUGAGGCGUGAUGACGAGGCACUACGGUGCUGAAGCAACAAAUGCCCUGCUUCCAGGAAAAGCCUCUAAGCAUCAGGUAACAUCAAAUCGUACCCCAAACCGACACAGGUGGUCAGGUAGAGAAUACCAAGGCGCUUGAGAGAACUCGGGUGAAGGAACUAGGCAAAAUGGUGCCGUAACUUCGGGAGAAGGCACGCUGACACGUAGGUGAAGUGAUUUACUCAUGGAGCUGAAGUCAGUCGAAGAUACCAGCUGGCUGCAACUGUUUAUUAAAAACACAGCACUGUGCAAACACGAAAGUGGACGUAUACGGUGUGACGCCUGCCCGGUGCCGGAAGGUUAAUUGAUGGGGUCAGCGCAAGCGAAGCUCCUGAUCGAAGCCCCGGUAAACGGCGGCCGUAACUAUAACGGUCCUAAGGUAGCGAAAUUCCUUGUCGGGUAAGUUCCGACCUGCACGAAUGGCGUAAUGAUGGCCAGGCUGUCUCCACCCGAGACUCAGUGAAAUUGAACUCGCUGUGAAGAUGCAGUGUACCCGCGGCAAGACGGAAAGACCCCGUGAACCUUUACUAUAGCUUGACACUGAACAUUGAGCCUUGAUGUGUAGGAUAGGUGGGAGGCUUUGAAGCGUGGACGCCAGUCUGCGUGGAGCCGACCUUGAAAUACCACCCUUUAAUGUUUGAUGUUCUAACGUGGACCCGUAAUCCGGGUUGCGGACAGUGUCUGGUGGGUAGUUUGACUGGGGCGGUCUCCUCCUAAAGAGUAACGGAGGAGCACGAAGGUUGGCUAAUCCUGGUCGGACAUCAGGAGGUUAGUGCAAUGGCAUAAGCCAGCUUGACUGCGAGCGUGACGGCGCGAGCAGGUGCGAAAGCAGGUCAUAGUGAUCCGGUGGUUCUGAAUGGAAGGGCCAUCGCUCAACGGAUAAAAGGUACUCCGGGGAUAACAGGCUGAUACCGCCCAAGAGUUCAUAUCGACGGCGGUGUUUGGCACCUCGAUGUCGGCUCAUCACAUCCUGGGGCUGAAGUAGGUCCCAAGGGUAUGGCUGUUCGCCAUUUAAAGUGGUACGCGAGCUGGGUUUAGAACGUCGUGAGACAGUUCGGUCCCUAUCUGCCGUGGGCGCUGGAGAACUGAGGGGGGCUGCUCCUAGUACGAGAGGACCGGAGUGGACGCAUCACUGGUGUUCGGGUUGUCAUGCCAAUGGCACUGCCCGGUAGCUAAAUGCGGAAGAGAUAAGUGCUGAAAGCAUCUAAGCACGAAACUUGCCCCGAGAUGAGUUCUCCCUGAGACUUUAGGUCUCCUGAAGGAACGUUGAAGACGACGACGUUGAUAGGCCGGGUGUGUAAGCGCAGCGAUGCGUUGAGCUAACCGGUACUAAUGAACCGUGAGGCUUAACCUUACAACGCCGAAG
rnacentral:rRNA from 1 species